rnacentral:rRNA from 1 species
AUACGGAAGGUCCGGGCGUUAUCCGGAUUUAUUGGGUUUAAAGGGAGCGCAGGCCGGCUUUUAAGCGUGACGUGAAAUGUAGACGCUCAACGUCUGAAUUGCGUCGCGAACUGGAGGCCUUGAGUGCAUUCGACGUCAGCGGAAUUUGUGGUGUAGCGGUGAAAUGCUUAGAUAUCACGAAGAACUCCGCUUGCGAAGGCAGCUUACGAGACGGUAAAUGUCGCUAAAGCUCGAAAGUGCUGGUAUCGAACAGGAUUAGAUACGCUGGUAGUCCGCACGGUAAACGAAGGAUGCCCGCUGUUUGCGAUACAAUGUAAGCGGCCAAGAGAAAUCGUUAAGCAUCCCACCUGGGGAGUACGCCGGCAACGGUGAAACUCAAAUGAAUUGACGGGU